rnacentral:lncRNA from 1 species
GAUCCAUCAGAGGUCUGCACUACACCUCAUCUCCAGCAGUGAAUAAGUUUAUCUUCUUCUGCCAUCAACUUUAGGGCUUACUCUGUAGAUAGGUCGACUAAGAUUUCGAACUCAGAUCGGUGAAACUUGCUGAGGAGACUGAUUCGGGAAGCUCUAAAGCUGGACGGACCCAUAGAUUUCAGGGCUUUAGCACUCAGCAUGAUGUAUGCUAGCUAGCUUAAUGGUAAUUGAAUGUUGCUAUGUCUUCCUUAUAGCAGUUUAUCUACCUCUUGAUUUGAGUAGUUUUAAAUAAUAUAAGAUUUAGAGUAUCUCAUUCUAUUUUUUGCUCAUCCUGCAACAAUGCUAGUGGUAGGAAUGUCAUAAAAAAGAAAUUGAGUGUGCAAUUAGAGAACCUCAU